GAUGAAGAACGCAGCGAAAUGCGAUAAGUAAUGUGAAUUGCAGAAUUCAGUGAACCAUCGAAUCUUUGAACGCACAUUGCGCCCGGCAGUAAUCUGCCGGGCAUGCCUGUCCGAGCGUCAUUUCUGCCCUCGAGCGAGUCCAGCAUCUAGGUGCUGGGCCCGCCCGGCGUUGGGGCACUACGGGAAGCCCUGUGCUGUCCCCCGUAGGCCCCGAAAUGAAGUGGCGGUCCUGCCGCGGCGCCCCCUGCGUAGUAUAACAGCUCGCUUCGGGACCCGGUGGGGGCCUGCCGUCAAACCUUACUCUCUAAGUUUGACCUCGGAUCAGGUAGGGUUACCCGCUGAACUUAAGCAUAUCAAUAAGCGGAGGA
rnacentral:misc_RNA from 1 species